UGGGGAAUUUUGGACAAUGGGGGAAACCCUGAUCCAGCCAUCCCGCGUGUGCGAUGAAGGCCUUCGGGUUGUAAAGCACUUUUGGCAGGAAAGAAACGUCAUGGGUUAAUACCCCGUGAAACUGACGGUACCUGCAGAAUAAGCACCGGCUAACUACGUGCCAGCAGCCGCGGUAAUACGUAGGGUGCAAGCGUUAAUCGGAAUUACUGGGCGUAAAGCGUGCGCAGGCGGUUCGGAAAGAAAGAUGUGAAAUCCCAGAGCUCAACUUUGGAACUGCAUUUUUAACUGCCGGGCUAGAGUGUGUCAGAGGGAGGUGGAAUUCCGCGUGUAGCAGUGAAAUGCGUAGAUAUGCGGAGGAACACCGAUGGCGAAGGCAGCCUCCUGGGAUAACACUGACGCUGAUGCACGAAAGCGUGGGGAGCAAACAGG
rnacentral:rRNA from 1 species